AGACGGAGGGAGCAAGCGUUGCUCGGAAUUACUGGGCGUGAAGAGCGUGUAGGCGGGACAGCAAGUCGGGUGUGAAAGCCCUGGGCUCAACCCAGGAAGUGCAUUCGAUACUACUGUUCUUGAGUAUGACAGAGGAAAGCGGAAUUCCCGGUGUAGCGGUGAAAUGCGUAGAUAUCGGGAAGAACACCUGUGGCGAAGGCGGCUUUCUGGGUCACAACUGACGCUGAGACGCGAAAGCUAGGGGAGCGAACGGGAUUAGAAACCCCAGUAGUCC
rnacentral:rRNA from 1 species